rnacentral:tRNA from 1 species
AAGAAAGCAUGCAAGAACUGCUAAUUCAUGCUUCCAUGUAUAAAAACAUGGCUUUCUUA